rnacentral:rRNA from 1 species
UACGAAGGGAGCUAGCGUUGUUCGGAUUUACUGGGCGUAAAGGGCGCGUAGGCGGUUUAGUAAGUUGGAUGUGAAAGCCCUGGGCUCAACCCGGGAAUUGCAUUCAAAACUACUUGACUUGAAUUCGGUAGAGGUUGGUAGAAUUCCCAGUGUAGAGGUGAAAUUCGUAGAGAUUGGGAAGAAUACCCGUGGCGAAGGCGGCCAACUGGACCGACAUUGACGCUGAGGCGCGAAAGCGUGGGUAGCAAACAGG